rnacentral:rRNA from 1 species
GACGAACGCUGGCGGCGUGCUUAACACAUGCAAGUCGAACGGGUCUGCCCUGUUUUUUGCGGGGUGGGUCAGUGGCGAACGGGUGAGUAACACGUGAGUAACCUGCCCCUCACUUCUGGAUAACCGCUUGAAAGGGUGGCUAAUACGGGGUGUUCUGGCUGUGCCGCAUGGUGUGGCUGGGAAAGAUUCACUUUUGUGGUGUUUUGGUGGGGGAUGGGCUCGCGGCCUAUCAGCUUGUUGGUGGGGUGAUGGCCUGCCAAGGCUUUGACGGGUAGCCGGCCUGAGAGGGUGGGCGGUCACACUGGGACUGAGAUACGGCCCAGACUCCUGCGGGAGGCAGCCGUGGGGGGUAUUGCACAAUGGGCGGAAGCCUGAUGCAGCGACGUCGCGUGAGGGAUGGAGGCCUUCGGGUUGUGAACCUCUUUCGCCGGUGAAGAAGGUCCUGCUCUUUGGGGUGGGGUUGACGGUAGCCGGGUUAUGAAGCGCCGGCUAACUACGUG